GGGUAAAUAGCUAAAUAAAGUAUAUUAUUUACGUUAAUAUGAUAUCUUCUAUGGUUUUACUUU
rnacentral:tRNA from 1 species